AACGAACGCUGGCGGCGGGCCUCAUACAUGCAAGUCGAGCGCGAAAGUCCGCAAGGAUGAGUAAAGCGGCGCACGGGUGAGUAACACGUGGGUAAUCUACCUCUUGGAUUGGAAUAACCUGUCGAAAGACGGGCUAAUGCCGAGUAAGUUCUCUUGAAUGUGAAGUUCGAGCGAAGAAAGAUGGCGCAAGCUAUCGCCGAGAGAUGAGCCUGCGUCCCAUAGUUAGUUGGUGGGGUAAUGGCUUACCAAGACAAUGAUGGGUACCUGGUCUGAGAGGAUGACCAGGCACACUGGAACUGAAACACGGUCCAGACUCCUACGGGAGGCAGCAGUAGGGAAUAUUGCGCAAUGGACGAAAGUCUGACGCAGCCACGCCGCGUGAGUGAGGAAGGCCUUGGUUG
rnacentral:rRNA from 1 species